rnacentral:lncRNA from 1 species
UGGAGGCUAUGGGGAGGGGUCUAGACUGUGGACAGCCAGUUCUCAAGCAGGCCAAGACCAGCAGGACCACCCGCCUGCCCCUCAUCCUGUUGCAGAUUCACAGCGGCCCAGCUGUGGCUGGAGGUCAUGGCCACACAUGGCCAUGGAGCCCUGGAAACCUGCUUGUGCCAACAGAGAUGCACUGUGCUAGGAGGCCCACACUCAGCAGGAAGGGAAAAGCUGCCCAUUAACCAUUGUUUAUGUUGAUAAAUAUUGAAACUGAUGGGUUGAAAUGUGAAAUGAUACUUUGGAUGUAGUAGGUUAAAUAAAAUACAUUAUUGAAAUGAGUUGUAUCUGUUUCCUUUUACUUUUUUAGGGUGGCUCCUGGAAACAUAAACUCAUGCAAGCAUUGCAUUUCUAUGGGACAGCGCUGCUGCCAGCUAGCUGCGUCUUAUCAGUCUGUGCCCCUCCCACACCCUCCUAGCUCAGGGUGAACACAGCCAGGCUGAAGGAAGCCUCAUCUGAUGGACAGGACCUCAUCUGGAUUCAUCAGGAAGGAAGGAAGUCUGGCCCUCCCUGCAUGUGACCAUGGCCACUCCCAUGGUCAGCAGCCUCUGAGCAGGAGUGGGCGGGACCUGGCCAGCACUCCUGUCACUUUCAUCCAUGAAACCCGACCUUCCUUACUGCUCCUGGGCUCCCAAGUGGAUGUGCGACCACCCAACCUUCCCAGUCCUCCUGAGUGGGUGUGUGACCAGCCCUCGGCGGCUUUCUUAUGACUGGAAAGUGCAGCCACGACAAGGGAGCGGCCAGCCAGGAGGGAGCAAUGACCACCCGGGCUGGCCCUGGAAUUGCUGGAGCCACCAGAAAGACCACCCACAAAGAGCUCCAAGGAAACACCACCGGAGGCCAGAAAUGGGAGUGGGGCGGGGAUCUGGAGCGGGGAGGUGACAAGGCUGAGAAGGAGCGGGUAGUCCUGGCACGAUCCCAUGCGGUGGCCACCUGCCUGGGUUAGCCUCAGCACGCCACCACUGCGACCUCUUUAUUCCUCUUAAACUAGGUUGAACAAGUUCUGUCUGCAAUCAGACAGGUCCCACCUAAUACAGCUGCUCUAUAAAUGUGGAGGCUGGGCAGGGAGAAGGCAGAUAAAUCAAUGGCACAUUUUUUUUUCCUGAUAGAAAAUGUGUCCAAGGUCCCAGGGAGCAAAAGUUGCUCACAGCUUUCAAUUCACCCCAGGCUGCCCCUCACAAGGCAAAAUGGACAAGGGGGAACAGAAUUCCCCUUCCUGGCCCUUCCCUGGUGUGCUGGGCCCCAUUUCCCAUCCGCUCGGGGAGAGCCGACCGUGUGCAGAGAGCAGCUGGACCUGGGUGGCUCCCUCUGCCCAGACUCCAGCGCCGCAUGACGUGCAGCCCCUCAGCGGGAGCAAGUGUGGGGCCGUGGGCCUGGGCCAGGGCCAGCCGAGGAGAGAUCACCCUGGGCUGGGUCUGUCUUCAAUUCCAGGCUGAAGCCAUCUCUGUGGAGGGUUGGGGUGCCUGCGGCCACCUGCACAUGUAAGCUCUUCCCUUUAGCAGCCCAGAGGAUGGAGCCCCACGGCCGUCAGGAGACCCCAGCAGGGCUCUCAUGGACAGAGAGAGGAGGACAGCCUAGGCUGAGCAGCCUGACACAGACAGCAGGUGGCUCCUGGAAAACGUGAACUCACACAGCACUGCCUUUCUCUCUGGGAAGCCGCCGGCCACGGGUUUCGCCUCUUCGGGAAGGGACGCAUGGCCCAGGCUGACCAAGGCCUUCAGUGACGGCCUUGCACUCAGCAGGGUCCCGGAAGGGUCGGGCCCGGUCAGAACAGGCUCCACUGCUGUUGCACAGCGACCGCAGACAGCGCAUCUCCAACGGGAAUGAAGUGGAUUUGGACACUCACUGGCCAUUUGUGAGUGAAAAUAUCCCCACUUUGUCUAUUGAGCACGUAAAGUGGUCCCAGAGCUACCAGUUUCAGAAUGAGCCGUGGAGGUCGUGAGUCACGCGAUGAGGCUGCGCUUUUGCCAUUUUCUCGUACUUUGGAAAAAUGAUAUAAUAAAAAAGCUAUCUACCAGCCACCAGAGUCAUGCAAUUCGAGGCGUACCUAACGGCCACCCAGCGUUAGCUGCACACAGCAUGGACAUUGAGGAGGACUGCAGCCCCACGCAAAGUGACACACGUCAGACUCACCCUGCACAGAGGCCACGUGACUGCCCCAGCCCAAGCCUAGGAGAAGCAUUAGGACACAGCAACCAUUUUCUCCAACACCUGCUAGAAAAGAGCUCAUACGUGGAGGAGACGGCAUCCUGCUUUUGGCUUUAAAAUUUGGUUGCCCUAACUCUAUGCCAUAUUCUGAGAACUAAAAGAUAUCGCCCCUGAAAGGCAGCCACAGUCUACUUCAAGAGGCCAAAAAUGUGAAGAAAAAAAUACUAUACAGGCACAUGAUCAAAUGCAAGCGCCGGGAUACGUAAGGGAGCAGACAGCCCGUUCUAAGGGGAGCCACAGUUGUACUAGUCACCGAACGACGCGGCCUGGGUGUGCCGGCCACUGUGCCUCUGAUACACCCGUCACCUCCACCUGGGAGGUCCUUCCACCUGUGCCUCUCGUACACCCGUCACCUCUCCCUGGCUGGUCCUUCCACCUGUUCUGCACCUAGGAAACUCCCACACAGUCCUUAGAGCUGAGCUCAGAUGACACUUGCUCAGGAAAGGCCUCUCUCCUCUUCUACUCCUCUGUGAGACCUUCCCCUGGGUCCCGGCUCACUCAUGACUCUACUUUCCAAAUCACACCGGGUGCUGUGCCUCUGUCUCAGUGCACUCAACUCCAGCUGGCCUAUGGGUCUGCUCCACAGCAGGCUCCACUUAGAAGGACACGGAGCUGAGGAAGGAGGGCAGGGCCAGGUUACUACACAACCUCCAAUGCCGAGGCAAUGCCUUCAGACUUUGUCUUGGUGGCAAUAUAAAGUUAUGGGAGCGUGUGUGCAGAAUCAGAACUGUUUUUUGGUUGGGGGAGACAGCCUCACUCUGUCUUUGGGAUAAAAUUAAAACCUGUAACAGGUCUAUGGGGCCUCGCAGGGUCUCGGCCCUGCUCAUUGCACACGGCGCCUUCCUCCCCGGCUUCAGCCCCACCAGCCCUUCCCAGUUCCAUGGAGCAUCCGCUCCUUCCUGCCCUGGGUGCUUGGCACAUCCUGGCCUUUCUGCCUGAAGCAGCUGCCAGGCAGCUUCCGGCUCCGUGUCUCCACCUGCCCUCACCCAGUUAAUGCAUACUCAUCCCACAGGUCUUCACUUAGCAUCGUGAGCUCACACAAGCCUUCCCCCAACCACCAGACUCCAUCAGAGGUCACUCAGGCCCCGGGAAUCUGCCAAGCCACUCAUCAUCACUGUGGUUCCACUGGGUAUGAACAGCCUGGCAUCUGCUCUCCCAACUGAAAUGCCAGCCUCUGGAGCUGAGGCCCAGGUCUGACUGUGCCUAACACUGUCUCGAAUGCGGUGAGUGCUCGGUAUACUGACAAUAAGGCGGGGAAGUGACGCCGGAAAUGGGUUGGAGGAGUCUAGGCGUGGUGUCCACUGGAUGGGACCAAUGUGAGAGACGCGGAAGUUUGAAAGUUGAUUGCAUCCUGAUGAUGACAGGGAGUGGGAAUUGGAGACUCCACAGGGGCUCAACGCUGGGCUCCUGGGGGUGAGGGUGUGACACCACUAUGGAGGCAGGCCUGAGGGAAUCACUAACGUAAAUCAAGUCUGAAGAGGAGAUGUUUGUGAACUGUGUGCCCGGCCAGCGCCAGGAAGGCCCCUUUAGCAUGGGAGGGAGUGUCCUCCUCGCUCCAACAGGGCACCCCUGGGGCCUGACAGCUCAACUGUGCACAGACAGGCAGCUGCCUUUUGGGACAGCCAGACUCAAGUCCUUCCAGAGGUGUCGUUUCUAAAUGAAUAGAAAUCAGAAUAGCCUUCUUCCAGAACGUUUUCUCAGUAACUUUUCUGUAAAAAUGUCCCUAAUACAAUAGCAAAAAAAAAAAAAAAAAAAAAAAAGUGAUUACUAUAUUUCCAGGCAACGUCCAUGUACACACAUAUAUCUAGGAAUCCUCCCACUAAUGCCAGCCUAGGUAUUGUUAGUACCCACCUCACAGAUGAGGAAACCAAGGCACAGGGAAGACAGGAAAUUUACCCAAGGUCACAUUGCUGGUGAUGGGUGCGGCCAGGAUCCCCAGCCAGCAGGCCGGGCUCUGCCUCAGCUAGGCUGCGCCUGUGUGGUCCCCGGGCCUCCACACCAGAGCUGGGUCCUCCAGGGGCCGUGAAUACUCAAGGCUAAGACAGCCCUGGCUGCUCUGUGGCUUUCCCUAAGCCGAGCCCUGCCUUCCCCCGCAUCCAACCUUCUGUCAAUGCUGUGCGCUGUGAUUUAAAGGCUUCAUUUUAAUUCAAUCCGUACCCCUGCUCAGAUACCAGACAACACUUUGUUUUGUUUUGAGAAAACUGUAUAUGUCAGAUUAACACAGUGGGCAGGAAUUUGCUUCCCCGAUCUUAGGGUACAAUGUCACCGUUGCUUAUUUUAUUUAAAUCAAGCUAAAUCCAACUCCAACCAACAUUCCAUAAAAGCUCACGGGAAAUUCUGUCUUAAUGAAAACUGAGGUUUCCCUGACACCCCAGAGUGGGGAUGGGGCCCCCACCAAGGGUCUAACACUGAGGUAAGCAUCCAGGAAAGGCCUUUCUCACCAGCCCACCCGGUUACCCAGAUGAACCCUUGAGUCAGGGCCCUGCUGCUUGUGUGCCCCUGAGGCCCGGGGUCCCCUCAGGCAAUGGGGGGUUCCUUGAGACACAGGGGUCCCCUCAGGCAAUAGGGGGUUCCUUGAGGCCCGGGGGUCCCCCCAGGCAAGCGGGAGAUCCCUGAGGCUUGGGGUCCCUGUGCCCAGCCCAGCCUUGCUACACGCAGGCACGCCGGGCAGCCGAUGUCACCAGCUCCUCAACCCCACCAGCCCCACCACUGAGGGGCUCAUGGGCGCCACCAGCCUGGGUUCCUUCCCGGGCUGGGCAACCUUCUCCCUUACCCUCACCUUCAAAAGCAGUUCAUUUCUACUCUUCCCUGUCAGGAUACCCAGGUUUCAGUAAAAAUGGGAAAAUAGCUUCCUUCCACUCCCAGCCUCUAACACCUGAGGAAGUCAGCAGCUGCCCUGACACUCUGGAAUUGGGGGUGGGGUCUGCAGGGUUUAAAAAACAAAAUAAAUUAUGGAGGAGAGAGCCUGUUAAUAAACAUCACAGCAAAUCACUGUUACAUUUCUAUAAAAGGCCAUCGAAUAGAAUCAUGCAUCAUUUAAGAGCAUUUUUGCUACCCAAACACUCUUCUCUCCGUACCACCCCCCGUACACACCUCCUCCCCGCAAAAUUGGAUGAUGGAUUCUGGAAAUGAUGAGAACUUUGAGCCUGUGAGGGCGCCCCAGCAGUUCCCUGAAUCUGCGUCCUCACUCUGCAGAUGGAGCCAUGUCAGCCCCGCCCCAGGAACUCACCCGAAUGGAGCCGGGAGUCACAUCAACUAAAAACAAUGUGAAUCUCAAUUCAGCUACGACAGACUCGCUGUCACUCAGAUCCCAGGACGUCCCCCCAGACGCUCCAGAGCCUGCCAAUCUGGCCCAGAAACAGCAUGCACCCGAGGCAUCCUUCCAGCACCCGUUCCUCUCCCUACACAGAGCAGAUCCCCAGCCAGCAAAGCCCUGCCAUGUAGGCCACUGCCUUCCUUGACAGCCCCACGCACUGGGGCUUCCUGGUACCUCUGCGGGUGCCUCCUCUGCCUCCUGGGGACAGGCACUGCCUCCAACCUGGGGACAGGGUCCCCUUCUGCCUUCUCAUUCAUUUCCUUUCAUCGCAACCCACAGAAAGACUGACCAAAAGUGCUGAGAACUUCAGGUUCUCUGAGCCCCAGGACUCACCACGAUGUUCACACCCCAUCCAAAAUAUGCGGUUUUGUCAACUCUUGAUUGGAAGAUUCCUUCAAAGACUUUAUUAAUAAGGACCUCUAACAAGAAUCUGAAACGGGCCCUGUUCUAUGGAAUUCCCCUCUGUGGCAGGUGAGGUGGCUGCGCAGAGCUCGGGAGCCCGCCCUGGGUGAAGGGGUAGGAGAGGCUGAGGCUCGGCCACAGAAGAAGGCACUGCUGCACACACACAGCUGCGAUCCCCGUGGCUAACGGCACUGGGGAGCCGGGAAAAUCAAAAAGAAAACAGCAUCCUGACGUUGGUCACGGUGCAAAACCUGAACAGAAUCCCAGGCCCCGUGUGGCUCAAUCUUUGUUUAAAGUUACAUUCAAAUAACAGACUCACUGCCAAAAAAAAAAAAAAGUUUUAAAAA